GAGCUGCCACAGGUACACUGCACCUCUGUGACACAGACAGAAUUUACAGACCACAAACAAAACACAAAUGGCUCUCAAGAAGCUGAGCAGUAAGAGGAGGAUGGAUGUUUGCCAUCAGGAGAGGUGCAGCAGCCAUCCCAAAGAGAAAUGGAUUAUCCCUCACCUGUGAUGUGCCCAUGGCCGCAAGGGUCCCAUUUGGCAAGAGUGGCUCCAGCUGCUGCCUUUGGGCCCAAGGCCAGUAAUGAAUCACCUCUCAGUAAUAAAUAAACUUUCCACUC